UACACAAAAUAGAAAACUCAUCAGCCAUUUGGGGAUUUAUUCAUCACACGAUCUAGGGCUGCUGGGUGGUGAACGGCGGCUGCUGGGCGAACAGCUGCUCGGCGGCGGCUGGGUGAACGGCGACGGUGAUGGUGGUGAACGCCUCCAGCAAGCGUGGGUUCUCGGCUCCAGCACUCUCGGCGGCGGUGCGGGUUCUCGGCUCCAUCACUCUCGGCGGCGGCGUGCUUCUCAGCGUGGGUCUCUGCUGGUUGCUGGUUGCUGGUUCACGAUUCCAGCAGAAUUCCUCUACACAUCUAGCUCUCACUGCCUUUGAAAUCCCUCAUUUCAAUACAAAGGGACCAAAGCCCAAAUGAAUCCUCAUCAUAUCAUCUCACUGUUUCUAUGUGCAUCGUCUUCCCCCUUCUUUCUCUACGGAGCUGUCUAGGUUUCAUUUCAUUUACAACCAAGUGUGCUGUUGCAGCCCCAAAUUAGUAGAAAUUAAAUGAUGGCUUCUACUAAAGAUCAAGUUCUACAAGCUAGCAAAUAUUGUCAGAAAUUGCACUAAAUGAUCAGGUACU